rnacentral:rRNA from 1 species
CCUACGGGGGGCAGCAGUGAGGAAUAUUGGUCAAUGGACGCAAGUCUGAACCAGCCAAGUAGCGUGCAGGAUGACGGCCCUCCGGGUUGUAAACUGCUUUUAGUUGGGAAUAAAAGGGGGCUCGUGAGCCCCGUAUUGUAUGUACCAUCAGAAAAAGGACCGGCUAAUUCCGUGCCAGCAGCCGCGGUAAUACGGAAGGUCCGGGCGUUAUCCGGAUUUAUUGGGGUUAAAGGGAGCGUAGGCCGGCUUUUAAGUCAGCUGUGGAAGUCCGCGGCUCAACCGUGGAAUUGCAGUUGAAACUGGAGGCCGUGAGAGCACACAGGGAUGCCGGAAUUCAUGGUGUAGCGGUGAAAUGCUUAGAUAUCAUGAAGAACUCCGAUCGCGAAGGCAAGUGUCCGGGGUGCAACUGACGCUGAGGCUCGAAAGUGCGGGUAUCAAACAGGAUUAGAUACCCGUGUAGUC